CAAAGAGGGGGGUUAAAAGCAGCCAACAUCCUCAUCUCCAGGCUCCUGCCUUUGCAGGAUGCUGAGAGGUGCCCAUCGUGGUGGGAUGCUGCUGGGUAUGGGUGGCAGAGCUGGGGAUGUGCUGAGCCUUCCAUGCAACUGAAUGGCAGCCGGAGGACCGAGGAGCAGGAGCUCUCCAUCUCUGCCUGGGUGUCCCCAGCUACCACCGCUGCUCUGCUAGCACAGACCCCAAUUCUGCUGCGUGGUCACGGAGAAAACGCCUGUUCCGUGGAGCUGGGGGAGCAGAACUGGCUGCUGUGGGUACAUUUGCAUUUGGCUCAGUUGCCCAGUUGCAAAUCAGGGAAGUGUGAAGAGAAGAAGUAGGGCAGAGCGAUGCUCAGAGCGGCUGCUGACCCGGCCCUGCUCAGGCUGUGCUGCUGGAGGCUCAGGAGCUCUCUGAGGCCCUUUGCUGGGACUUCUCUUCUGCUGAAGGAUCUGCUGAGCAAAUUGCUUAGAUGGGAAAUGAGCACCUGGCCUCAUUAACAGUGCCACAUCCGAGAGAUGAGCCAUUGCUUCUGCCAUGUGGUUCCAUGGGUGUCUUUGCAACACUGGGGCUCGUGGCAGCGAGGGGUCAGUGGAAAUGCUGUUCUGAAGGUAAUUUUUAUUUAAAAAAAUACCCACAACAACACAAAAAAGCGAUGCACUUCUGUAUGCAAAUAACCCCACCAG